rnacentral:RNase_P_RNA from 1 species
CGAGUCGGCCGGGCGGUCGCGGCGGUGUCGUGAGACAUCGUCGAGGAAAGUCCGGGCUCCACAGGGCAAGGUGGUGGGCAACACCCACCCGGGGUGACCCGCGGGACAGUGCCACAGAAAGCAGACCGCCGUUGCGGUCCGCCGCAGCGGUAAGGGUGAAACGGUGGUGUAAGAGACCACCAGCGCCCGAGGUGACUCGGGCGGCUCGGUAAACCCCACCCGGAGCAAGGCCAAGAGGGUCCGGCACGCCGGACCUGCGCAGACGUCCGAGGGCGGCCCGCCCGAGUCUGCGGGUAGGCCGCUACAGGCUGCCGGCAACGGCAGUCGCAGAGGGAUGGCCGCCGGCACCGACUUCGGUCGGUGUCACAGAACCCGGCUUACAGGCCGACUCGUCCG